UCGCGGGUCUGGUUUGGCAGUGUGUGUGCUGUGUGUGCGUCGCAUGCGUCUUGGGUGAUCAAAUUUUAACCGUGGGGAUCCUCGACGACUCAUCCACCAAUCCCCGUCCUCCUCCAGCCCGCAUCUAAGGUCGGGGCACAACCCUAGCCGCCACCUCUCCUCCCCCCGUUCAUCCUCUCCAGCUGCCGCCGCCACCCUUGUCUUUCCUCCUCUCUCCCCGUGCAACAGCGCAUCUGGCCGUGGGGGCGGGCGAGGCUACAAGGCGACGGGCCGAGGCGGCAGCGUCUUCUCCUGCCCACGGAUGGAUGAGCCGCUCGCAGGUCGAGUUGGGGCUGGCAAGACUGCAGGACAAUGGCCCGAGGUGGGGGUGUAGGGAUCCAGACGGAGAGGUACUCUCAGGUCGAGGUGGCAGCGCCGUCGGUGAUGCCAAACAGGGGGAGGGAAUUGGGCGAGUGAGACCAGCGGGGGAAGGAACAGGGCGUGGCCUCACGCGCUGGCUCGUCAUCUGCUUCACCAUUACUUUCAGCUGAAGAAGACAAAGACCAGCUGCUAAUGGACGCCGUCCGAGCUGGUGUUGUUUACCACAGACUCUGAGCCAAGUUUGCGAGAUUUACGGACUUGGUGCAGUAACACUGUAAAUAGGUAUAGAUUCAGACCUCACCAAAGACAGCCAGUUGUUUCUGCCUCCAUCUGUUUUCCAUCCCGGUCAGCUCGCCUCCUCACUCCAGUUUUGUGAAGAUUCAGCUGCAGUUCAGCUCGCUCGACGCCUCGGCUGCUCUCUUUCGUCGUGCCAAGCAGUCUUGCUCCUUCGGCGCUUCAACAACAGUUCACCGAUUAGUUUAUGAGCCGGCGGCAGCAACAGUGGUCCGCAGCACGGCAGCAGGUAGCACGAGCGGAGAAGGCAGCGAGAGGAGAAGCGGCAGCAGCCAGCAGACACCCGGCACCCGGCGUGGCGGCUUGGAGGGCCCUAGCUGUGGUGGGCAGCGAGAGUUGGCAAGGCCGGCGGCCAACAGUUGGCAACAGCGAGAAGCGAGUGAAACUGUGAAAGAUGUGGGUUGAUUUGGGGAAAGGAGGAGAACAGAUAAGGUCUGGUUGGGGGAAAGGAGGAGAGACGAGCGUGCGUGGGAGUUGGUCGGUGUAUUGGGCUUAAAUGUAUUUGGGCUGGGCCAAACGCCAGUGCUAUUUGGUGCUUUUUAGAAAACAUUUAUGAUCAGCAGUCAUCUAUCUAUCA